UAGGAUCUAUGGUCACCUAUAUGAAUGGU
rnacentral:piRNA from 1 species